rnacentral:snRNA from 1 species
CUGCUCACUUUGGCAGCAUAUAGACUAAAAUUGGAAUGAUAGAGAAGAUUAGCAUGGCCCCUGCUCAAGGAUGACACACAAAUUCAUGAAGCAUUCCAUAAAAUU